AUUGAACGCUGACGGCAUGCUUUACACAUGCAAGUCGAACGGUAACAGGCCGCAAGGUGCUGACGAGUGGCGAACGGGUGAGUAAUGCAUCGGAACGUGCCCAGUCGUGGGGGAUAACUACUCGAAAGAGUAGCUAAUACCGCAUACGAUCUAUGGAUGAAAGCGGGGGACCGUAAGGCCUCGCGCGAUUGGAGCGGCCGAUGUCAGAUUAGGUAGUUGGUGGGGUAAAGGCUCACCAAGCCAACGAUCUGUAGCUGGUCUGAGAGGACGACCAGCCACGCUGGGACUGAGACACGGCCCAGACUCCUACGGGAGGCAGCAGUGGGGAAUUUUGGACAAUGGGCGCAAGCCUGAUCCAGCAAUGCCGCGUGCAGGAAGGAGGCCUUCGGGUUGUAAACUGCUUUUGUACGGAACGAAACGGCUCUGGUUAAUACCCGGGGCUAAUGACGGUACCGUAAGAAUAAGCACCGGCUAACUACGUG
rnacentral:rRNA from 1 species